rnacentral:lncRNA from 1 species
GACCCAGGCAGCUCCCGAGCCGAGGUGCGGCGGAGAGCCCGGGGAUCAAAGGCAUCUGAAGAGAAAGGGGAAGCGGGCGCACUGCCGGGCUGGCCUGGCCCCCUGCGGGCCGCGCUGACCUGGGAGGAUGGGGGUGGCGGGCGGGAACUCCGGGAUUUCCCCCUUGCUAGGGAUCCGGCUUCGGCCGGCGCCCGUCCCAGGUAAGCCCGGGUCUCCGCAGCUCUCCGGACUAGAUAGACGAGCCUGACUGCGGGGUGGAGACCCGAGGUCAGCCCGCGAUUGAGUCCUCGUCUGCGCGGUGGCCGCUAGGCGCCGGGGCGCAGGAGCUGCGGGGAGGCGCAUCUCCUGGAGAUCCGAUCAGCGCUCCUCUAUCCAGUACGCGUUUGAAUCCCGCCGCCCUGUGCAGGAUGGGCGCAGACUCCGGCUCGGUGGGGACCCGGCGGCGAAUUCGGGCCGGGCUUCGCCUGAGGUGAGCCCCGUUAUUCCGGUCCCUCCGGCGGCGGGCAGCUGUGUCCCGCUUCGUACGCACACAGAGGAGCUUCCCGGCUCGGGAGAAACCGCUGCUGGCAACCGGAGGCCCCCGGACGCGAGCGCCCCUGUUCUCGGUUGGUGUAAGCAUCCCUUGCAAGCCGCGGAUUUUCUGAGUGCUUGAAAUUCGAGUUCCUCGUUAUUUUCUUUCACUGAUUUUGUUUAUUGAUCCGGGGAUCUUAAUAUCGAUCUCCCCAUUUAACGCAUCCCCUCCAUCCCAUCCGUCCCCUCAA